AUUGAACGCUGGCGGCAGGCUUAACACAUGCAAGUCGAGCGGAGAUGAGGUGCUUGCACCUUAUCUUAGCGGCGGACGGGUGAGUAAUGCUUAGGAAUCUGCCUAUUAGUGGGGGACAACAUUCCGAAAGGAAUGCUAAUACCGCAUACGCCCUACGGGGGAAAGCAGGGGAUCUUCGGACCUUGCGCUAAUAGAUGAGCCUAAGUCGGAUUAGCUAGUUGGUGGGGUAAAGGCCUACCAAGGCGACGAUCUGUAGCGGGUCUGAGAGGAUGAUCCGCCACACUGGGACUGAGACACGGCCCAGACUCCUUCGGGAGGCAGCAGUGGUGAAUAUUGGCCAAUGGGCGGAAGCCUGAUCCAGCCAUGCCGCGUGUGUGAAGAAGGCCUUUUGGUUGUAAAGCACUUUAAGCGAGGAGGAGGCUACCUGGAUUAAUACUCUAGGAUAGUGGACGUUACUCGCAGAAUAAGCACCGGCUAACUCUGUGCCAGCAGCCGCGGUAAAAC
rnacentral:rRNA from 1 species